UCCGUCGCCAACCUGCUGCGCCCCAGAUCCCUCGUCGCCGGAUGCGCGUCCGCCAACCUCUCUCCCGCCCCAUUCACCAUACUCGCUGGGUUGCCGAACAAGGAACAGCCGCCGCCGGGAUAUGGCCGUCAACUUCGCCUCUACCUCCGGAGGGUCGCCGUAAAAGUACCUGCUAAUGUCGUAAAUCGAUCGCCAUCGCAUCCUUCUAUGAGUGCCGCCCCUUUCCAUCCAGGUACCACCCUUCCAGAUCCAUUUUUUUCUUCUUAUUUUCCCUUCUUUAGGAUUUGUUUCCAUUUCCUGAUUAAUUUCAUAUGUGAGUACCCCCGACUCUAAUCACCAGAAAAUAACGAGAAUGGUCUCCUUCCUCAUUUGCUGGGUACUGGUAGAAGAAAAUGGCUCUAUACAGACAUUGGUCUUGAAUAGGCCAAGGUUACAGGACUCCUAAAAAAUCACUUCUUCAGAGGAGGGAAACAAAGUUGGACUGUUAAUUGUAAAGUAGGAGCAAAAUUCAAGAUUCGAGAUCUACGAGAGAUGCAAGAGCUUUUGUUCUAAUCAAGGGACCAAUGAUCCGUUGCAUGGAAAUUACACGGAAUAGGAUCAGCACAACAAGGAGGCUGCAGCAGGACGUUAAGGUUAUCAAUAAAGGCAAGAAAUUCUACUUAUUCU